UCUCAUUUGGUCUAGCAGUUAGGAUUCCUGGUUUUGCACCUCGGUGGCCCAGGUUCAACUCCUGGUAUGCGAA
rnacentral:tRNA from 1 species